UUUAAAGUCUAAUCUGCCCUAUGAGGAGUUAAAUGGCCGCGGUAUCUUGACCGUGCAAAGGUAGCAUAAUAAUUAGUUUUUUAAUUGAAAGCUGGAAUGAAUGAUUGGACGAGAAAAUGACUGUCUCAAUUUAAUUGUAUUAAAAUUUUAUUUUUAAGUAAGAAAGCUUAAAUUUUAUUAAAAGACGAGAAGACCCUAUAGAGUUUUAUAAUUAGUAAGUUAUUAGUUUUUUAGAAUAUUUUUAUUAAUAUUUUAUGGAUUAUUUUGUUGGGGCGAUAGAAAAAUAUAAUAAACUUUUUUUAGUAUUUGUACAUUAAUUUAUGAUUUAAUGAUCCAUUAUUUAUGAUUAGAAGAUUAAGUUACCUUAGGGAUAACAGCGUAAUUUUUUUUUAGAGUUCUUAUCGAAAGAAAAGAUUGCGACCUCGAUGUUGGAUUAAAAUUAAUGCUAGGUGUAGGGGCUUAGUAAUUAGGUCUGUUCGACCUUUAAAAUUUUACA
rnacentral:rRNA from 1 species